AAGUCGUAACAAGGUUUCCGUAGGUGAACCUGCGGAAGGAUCAUUAAUAAAAUGUCAAUUCGGCAAAACCGUAAGGUUUUCGUUGGAUAAAACCUGUAUUUAAAACCUUCACUCACUCUUUGUAAAACAUAUUUUAUUAUAAAAAAAAUAAUAAAAAGAUCACUUUCAACAACGGAUCUCUUGGCUCUC
rnacentral:misc_RNA from 1 species